rnacentral:rRNA from 1 species
AUUUACCUACGGGGGGCAGCAGUAGGGAAUUUUCGUCAAUGGGCGCAAGCCUGAACGAGCAAUGCCGCGUGAACGAGGAAGGUCUUCGGAUCGUACAGUUCUGUUGAAGGGGAAAAAUAGCGGAGAGAGGAAAUGGUCUCCGAUUGAUAUUACCCUUCGAGGAAGUCGCGGCUAACUACGUGCCAGCAUCCGCGGUAAUACGUAGGUGUCGAGCGUUAUCCGGAGUGAUUGGACGUAAGGGGUGCGUA